rnacentral:lncRNA from 1 species
AAUGAUCAAACCAGCCUUUACUGGCAACAAGAAGUCCUUCGGUUGGCUUGUAAUUAGUUUUCUUUCAGUGCAACAACUAACUUCAAUGAUUCAGCCUGAAUGCUAGCCAAAUUGACUAGGGUCUGUUCUUAAUACAAUUUAUUUAAAUUACGUGAUAAAGCUAUCUAUCUAUCUAUCUAUCUAUCUAUUUAUUUAUUUAUUUUUUGAGACAGAGUUUCGCUCUUGUUGCCCAGGCUGGAGGCAAUGGCGCAAUCUCAGCUUACUGCAGCCUCCACCCUCCCGGGUUCAAGGGAUUCUCUUGGCUCAGCCUCCUGAGUAGUUGGGAUUACAGGUUCCGCCUUCACACCUGGCUAAUUUUUUGUGUUUUUAGCAGAGACAGGGUUUCACCAUGUUGGUCAAGCUGGUCUCGAACUCCAGACCUCAGGCGAUCCACCUGCCUCGGGCCUCCCAAAGUGCUGGGAUUACAGGCGUGAGCCACCACGCCUGGCUGAAGCACUGUAACUUUUUUUUUUUUUUUUGAGAUGAAGUCUCGCUCUUGUCCCCCAGGCUGGAGUGCAAUGGCAUGAUCU